AUUGAACGCUGGCGGCAUGCCUUACACAUGCAAGUCGAACGGUAACAGGUCUUCGGAUGCUGACGAGUGGCGAACGGGUGAGUAAUGCAUCGGAACGUGCCCAGUUGUGGGGGAUAACUGCUCGAAAGAGCAGCUAAUACCGCAUACGACCUGAGGGUGAAAGCGGGGGAUCGCUAGACCUCGCGCAGUUGGAGCGGCCGGUAUCAGAUUAGGUAGCUGGUGGGGUAAAGGCUCACCAAGCCAAUGAUCUGUAGCUGGUCUGAGAGGACGACCAGCCAAACUGGGACUGAGACACGGCCCAGACUCCUACGGGAGGCAGCAGUGGGGAAUUUUGGACAAUGGGCGCAAGCCUGAUCCGGCCAUGCCGCGUGCGGGAAGAAGGCCUUCGGGUUGUAAACCGCUUUUGUCAGGGAAGAAAAGACUCCUGUUAAUACCGGGGGUUCAUGACGGUACCUGAAGAAUAAGCACCGGCUAACUACGUGCCAGCCGCCGCCGUAACAC
rnacentral:rRNA from 1 species